AAAUUGAAGAGUUUGAUCAUGGCUCAGAUUGAACGCUGGCGGCAGGCCUAACACAUGCAAGUCGAACGGUAACAGGAAGAAGCUUGCUUCUUUGCUGACGAGUGGCGGACGGGUGAGUAAUGUCUGGGAAACUGCCUGAUGGAGGGGGAUAACUACUGGAAACGGUAGCUAAUACCGCAUAACGUCGCAAGACCAAAGAGGGGGACCUUCGGGCCUCUUGCCAUCGGAUGUGCCCAGAUGGGAUUAGCUAGUAGGUGGGGUAACGGCUCACCUAGGCGACGAUCCCUAGCUGGUCUGAGAGGAUGACCAGCCACACUGGAACUGAGACACGGUCCAGACUCCUACGGGAGGCAGCAGUGGGGAAUAUUGCACAAUGGGCGCAAGCCUGAUGCAGCCAUGCCGCGUGUAUGAAGAAGGCCUUCGGGUUGUAAAGUACUUUCAGCGGGGAGGAAGGGAGUAAAGUUAAUACCUUUGCUCAUUGACGUUACCCGCAGAAGAAGCACCGGCUAACUCCGUGCCAGCAGCCGCGGUAAUACGGAGGGUGCAAGCGUUAAUCGGAAUUACUGGGCGUAAAGCGCACGCAGGCGGUUUGUUAAGUCAGAUGUGAAAUCCCCGGGCUCAACCUGGGAACUGCAUCUGAUACUGGCAAGCUUGAGUCUCGUAGAGGGGGGGUAGAAUUCCAGGUGUAGCGGUGAAAUGCGUAGAGAUCUGGAGGAAUACCGGUGGCGAAGGCGGCCCCCUGGACGAAGACUGACGCUCAGGUGCGAAAGCGUGGGGAGCAAACAGGAUUAGAUACCCUGGUAGUCCACGCCGUAAACGAUGUCGACUUGGAGGUUGUGCCCUUGAGGCGUGGCUUCCGGAGCUAACGCGUUAAGUCGACCGCCUGGGGAGUACGGCCGCAAGGUUAAAACUCAAAUGAAUUGACGGGGGCCCGCACAAGCGGUGGAGCAUGUGGUUUAAUUCGAUGCAACGCGAAGAACCUUACCUGGUCUUGACAUCCACGGAAGUUUUCAGAGAUGAGAAUGUGCCUUCGGGAACCGUGAGACAGGUGCUGCAUGGCUGUCGUCAGCUCGUGUUGUGAAAUGUUGGGUUAAGUCCCGCAACGAGCGCAACCCUUAUCCUUUGUUGCCAGCGGUCCGGCCGGGAACUCAAAGGAGACUGCCAGUGAUAAACUGGAGGAAGGUGGGGAUGACGUCAAGUCAUCAUGGCCCUUACGACCAGGGCUACACACGUGCUACAAUGGCGCAUACAAAGAGAAGCGACCUCGCGAGAGCAAGCGGACCUCAUAAAGUGCGUCGUAGUCCGGAUUGGAGUCUGCAACUCGACUCCAUGAAGUCGGAAUCGCUAGUAAUCGUGGAUCAGAAUGCCACGGUGAAUACGUUCCCGGGCCUUGUACACACCGCCCGUCACACCAUGGGAGUGGGUUGCAAAAGAAGUAGGUAGCUUAACCUUCUGGGAGGGCGCUUACCACUUUGUGAUUCAUGACUGGGGUGAAGUCGUAACAAGGUAACCGUAGGGGAACCUGCGGUUGGAUCACCUCCUUA
rnacentral:rRNA from 1 species